rnacentral:rRNA from 1 species
UGGGGAAUAUUGGACAAUGGACCAAGAGUCUGAUCCAGCAAUUCUGUGUGCACGAUGAAGUUUUUCGGAAUGUAAAGUGCUUUCAGUUGGGAAGAAAAAAAUGACGGUACCAACAGAAGAAGUGACGGCUAAAUACGUGCCAGCAGCCGCGGUAAUACGUAUGUCACGAGCGUUAUCCGGAUUUAUUGGGCGUAAAGCGCGUCUAGGUGGUUAUGUAAGUCUGAUGUGAAAAUGCAGGGCUCAACUCUGGAUUGCGUUGGAAACUGUAUAACUAGAGUACUGGAGAGGUAAGCGGAACUACAAGUGUAGAGGUGAAAUUCGUAGAUAUUUGUAGGAAUGCCGAUGGGGAAGCCAGCUUACUGGACAGAUACUGACGCUGAAGCGCGAAAGCGUGGGUAGCAAACAGGAUUAGAUACCCUGGUAGUCCACGCCGUAAACGAUGAUUACUAGGUGUUGGGGGUCGAACCUCAGCGCCCAAGCAAACGCGAUAAGUAAUCCGCCUGGGGAGUGCGUACGCAAGUAUG